rnacentral:lncRNA from 1 species
CUGACACUUACCUGAAGAUAGCAUCAGAUGCUAUAGAUUAAGGAACUCAGGCUUACAGACUGCUUCUCAUUUCAGGCACCAAGUGCAAAGCCAGGCCUCUAGAACUUUUGGCUAGCCAGUUCCAUAGAGCAGGGUACUCAUGACCUCCUCCUUGGUCCAAUUAACCUGCUCAAGCAACUUAUAGAAUUCAGGGAAACACUUAUGUUUACCAGUUUACUGUAAAGGAUAUUGCAAAGGAUCAGGACGAACAGCCUGGAAGAGAUCAACAGCAAGAUACAGGAAGGGGUGUGGAGCUUCUGUGUCCUCUCUGGUAUUACAACUCUUGGAAUAUACAGCAUCGAUUCUACUAUCAAAUUUGGCGUGUGCCAGCACGGCGGACAACGUGUUCCAGCCACUGCCUCAGUCUUUGGAUUGAGUGGGCGGUUCGUUUUGCAGUUUACUAUCUCCUAGAGCAGCCCCCCCCCCCGCGCCGUACCUAUGGAGGAC